rnacentral:rRNA from 1 species
AACGCGAAGAACCUUACCUGGAUUUGACAUCUCCGGACAGCCGUAGAGAUACGGUUUCUGUAGCAAUACAGCCGGAAGACAGGUGCUGCAUGGCUGUCGUCAGCUCGUGUGGUGACAUGUUGGGUUAAGUCCCGCAACGAGCGCAACCCUUGUCCUUAGUUGCCAGCAUUCAGUUGGGCUCUCUAAGGAGACUGCCGUGGUUAACACGGAGGAAGGUGGGGAUGACGUCAAGUCCUCAUGGCCUUUAUAUCCAGGGCGACACACGUGAUACAAUGGACGGUACAGAGGGAAGCCAAGGGGUGACCCGGAGCUAAUCUCAAAAAGCCGUUCUCAGUUCGGAUUGGAGUCUGCAACUCGACUCCAUGAAGUUGGAAUCGCUAGUAAUCGCGGAUCAGCACGCCGCGGUGAAUACGUUCCCGGGCCUUGUACACACCGCGUGUCU